AUUGAACGCUGGCGGCAUGCCUUACACAUGCAAGUCGAACGGCAGCACGGGAGCAAUCCUGGUGGCGAGUGGCGAACGGGUGAGUAAUAUAUCGGAACGUGCCCAGUCGUGGGGGAUAACGUAGCGAAAGCUACGCUAAUACCGCAUACGAUCUAUGGAUGAAAGCGGGGGAUCGCAAGACCUCGCGCGGUUGGAGCGGCCGAUAUCAGAUUAGGUAGUUGGUGAGGUAAAGGCUCACCAAGCCGACGAUCUGUAGCUGGUCUGAGAGGACGACCAGCCACACUGGGACUGAGACACGGCCCAGACUCCUACGGGAGGCAGCAGUGGGGAAUUUUGGACAAUGGGCGCAAGCCUGAUCCAGCAAUGCCGCGUGCAGGAUGAAGGCCUUCGGGUUGUAAACUGCUUUUGUACGGAACGAAACGGCGAGCUCUAAUACAGUUUGCUAAUGACGGUACCGUAAGAAUAAGCACCGGCUAAUUCCGUGCCAGCAGCCGCAGUAA
rnacentral:rRNA from 1 species